rnacentral:rRNA from 1 species
ACGCACGCUGGCGGCGUGCUUAACCCAUGCAAGUCGAACGGUGAAGCGCCUUCCUUUUUGGUGGGUGUGGAUGAGUGGCGAACGGGUGAGUAACACGUGAGUAACCUGCCCCCUUCUUCUGGAUAACCGCAUGAAAGUGUGGCUAAUACGGGAUAUUCUGGGUCUGUCGCAUGAUGGGUCUGGGAAAGAUAUUGUUUCGGUGGGGGAUGGGCUCGCGGCCUAUCAGCUUGUUGGUGGGGUGAUGGCCUACCAAGGCGGUGACGGGUAGCCGGCCUGAGAGGGUGGACGGUCACACUGGGACGGAGGCACGGCCCAGACUCCUACGGGAGGCAGCAGUGGGGAAUAUUGCACAAUGGGCGCAAGCCUGAUGCAGCGACGCCGCGUGAGGGAUGGAGGCCGUCGGGUUGUGAACCUCUUUCGCCAGUGAAGCAGGCCUGCCUCGUUUGUGGGUGGGUUGACGGUAGCUGGAUAAGAAGCGCCGGCUAACUACGUG